GACGAACGCUGGCGGCGUGCCUAAUACAUGCAAGUAGAACGCUGAAGAGAGGAGCUUGCUCUUCUUGGAUGAGUUGCGAACGGGUGAGUAACGCGUAGGUAACCUGCCUUGUAGCGGGGGAUAACUAUUGGAAACGAUAGCUAAUACCGCAUAACAAUGGAUGACACAUGUCAUUUAUUUGAAAGGGGCAAUUGCUCCACUACAAGAUGGACCUGCGUUGUAUUAGCUAGUAGGUGAGGUAACGGCUCACCUAGGCGACGAUACAUAGCCGACCUGAGAGGGUGAUCGGCCACACUGGGACUGAGACACGGUCCAGACUCCUACGGGAGGCAGCAGUAGGGAAUCUUCCGCAAUGGGCGAAAGCCUGACGGAGCAACGCCGCGUGAGUGAUGAAGGUCUUCGGAUCGUAAAACUCUGUUAUUAGGGAAGAACAAAUGUGUAAGUAACUAUGCACGUCUUGACGGUACCUAAUCAGAAAGCCACGGCUAACUACGUGCCAGCAGCCGCGGUAAUACGUAGGUGGCAAGCGUUAUCCGGAAUUAUUGGGCGUAAAGCGCGCGUAGGCGGUUUUUUAAGUCUGAUGUGAAAGCCCACGGCUCAACCGUGGAGGGUCAUUGGAAACUGGAAAACUUGAGUGCAGAAGAGGAAAGUGGAAUUCCAUGUGUAGCGGUGAAAUGCGCAGAGAUAUGGAGGAACACCAGUGGCGAAGGCGACUUUCUGGUCUGUAACUGACGCUGAUGUGCGAAAGCGUGGGGAUCAAACAGGAUUAGAUACCCUGGUAGUCCACGCCGUAAACGAUGAGUGCUAGGUGUUAGGGGGUUUCCGCCCCUUAGUGCUGCAGCUAACGCAUUAAGCACUCCGCCUGGGGAGUACGACCGCAAGGUUGAAACUCAAAGGAAUUGACGGGGACCCGCACAAGCGGUGGAGCAUGUGGUUUAAUUCGAAGCAACGCGAAGAACCUUACCAAAUCUUGACAUCCUCUGACCCCUCUAGAGAUAGAGUUUUCCCCUUCGGGGGACAGAGUGACAGGUGGUGCAUGGUUGUCGUCAGCUCGUGUCGUGAGAUGUUGGGUUAAGUCCCGCAACGAGCGCAACCCUUAAGCUUAGUUGCCAUCAUUAAGUUGGGCACUCUAAGUUGACUGCCGGUGACAAACCGGAGGAAGGUGGGGAUGACGUCAAAUCAUCAUGCCUCUUAUGAUUUGGGCUACACACGUGCUACAAUGGACAAUACAAAGGGCAGCGAAACUGCGAGGUCAAGCAAAUCCCAUAAAGUUGUUCUCAGUUCGGAUUGUAGUCUGCAACUCGACUAUAUGAAGCUGGAAUCGCUAGUAAUCGUAGAUCAGCAUGCUACGGUGAAUACGUUCCCGGGUCU
rnacentral:rRNA from 1 species